GAUGAACGCUGGCUACAGGCUUAACACAUGCAAGUCGAGGGGAAACGACGGGGAAGCUUGCUUCCCCGGGCGUCGACCGGCGCACGGGUGAGUAACGCGUAUCCAACCUGCCUCUGACUGAGGGAUAACCCGUCGAAAGUCGGCCUAAUACCUCAUGGCAUCGUCUGCGGGCAUCCAACGACGAUUAAAGAUUUCAUCGGUCAGGGAUGGGGAUGCGUCUGAUUAGCUUGUUGGCGGGGUAACGGCCCACCAAGGCUACGAUCAGUAGGGGGUCGGAGAGGAAGGCCCCCCACAUUGGAACUGCGACACGGUCCAAACUCCUACGGGAGGCAGCAGUGUGUAAUAUUGGGCAAUGGGCGGGAGCCUGACCCAGCCAAGUAGCGUGCAGGAUGCCGGCCCUAUGGGUUGUAAACUGCUUUUAGGCGGGGAUAAAGUGAGGGACGUGUCCUUCAUUGCAGGUACCGCAUGAAUAAGGACCGGCUAAUUCCGUG
rnacentral:rRNA from 1 species